rnacentral:rRNA from 1 species
UACGAAGGGGGCUAGCGUUGCUCGGAAUCACUGGGGCGUAAAGCGCACGUAGGCGGCUUCUUAAGUCAGGGGUGAAAUCCUGGAGCUCAACUCCAGAACUGCCUUUGAUACUGAGGAGCUUGAGUCCGGGAGAGGUGAGUGGAACUGCGAGUGUAGAGGUGAAAUUCGUAGAUAUUCGCAAGAACACCAGUGGCGAAGGCGGCUCACUGGCCCGGUACUGACGCUGAGGUGCGAAAGCGUGGGGAGCAAACAGG